AUGCUGACUUACACCAAGCGCGGUCUCUUUCAGCCCGUCGAUCGUAUGAACCUUAUGGCUUCCAACUCCUCCAUCUCUCCUCUUCCCAAAACAUACCGGGGUGCUCUCAACGACCCACACUGGCGUCGUGCCAUGCACGAUGAGUUCGAGACGCUUGUCACUAACCGGACGUGGUCACUUGUUCCACGCCCACCUCGUGCUCAUGUUGUUUCAGGGAAGUGGAUUUUCAAGCAUAAAUUCCAUUCGGAUGGACGGCUCUCUCGGUAUAAGGCUCAGUGGGUGGUUCACCAGUAUUCUCAACAGCCGGGCAUCGACUUCGACGAGACGUUCAGCCCGGUUGUCAAACCGGCCACCAUCCGCAUCGUCCUCACCAUUGCGGUUUCC
rnacentral:rRNA from 1 species